CUUUGUUUUAAAAAUCACUGCUUCAAUCUACUUCAAAAGAAAAAAAAAACAAUAAAAAGUGUUGAUGAAGAUGUGAAGAAACUGGAAUCCUUAUUAGUUGCUGGUGGGAAUGUAAAAUAGUGUUGCUACUUUGGAAAACAGAUUGGCACUUCCUCAAAAAUUAAACAUAGAGUUACCAUAUGACCCAGCAAUUCCACUCCUCGGUAUACACCCAAGAGACAUGAAAAUGUAUGUCCACACAAAAACCUUUACACAAAAGUUCAGAGCAGCAUUAUUUAUAACAGUCCAGAAGUGAAAACAACUCAAAUAUCUAUCAAAUGAUGAAUAAAUACCAUUUUAAAUGUGAUAUAUUUACACAAUAGAAUAUUCAACAAUGAAAAGGAAUGAAGCACUGAUACAUGCUACAUCAUAGAUGAACCUUGAAAACAUUUUGCUAAGUAAAAGAAGUCAGAUGCAAAAGACCACAUGUUCUAUGAGUCCAUUUAUAUGAGUUGUCCAGAACAGGCAAAUCUACAGAGACAGAAAGUAGUUGUCUAUGGCCGGAGGUGUGGGGGUUGGAGGAUGCUGAUAGGAAAUGGGGACUAUAUGCUAAUGGAUAUAGGAUUUUUUCCUGGGGUGAUGAAAAUGUUCUAAAAUUGAUUGUCAUGAUGGUUGCACAACUUUUGUAAUAGACUGCAAUCAACUGAAUACUUUAAAUAGGUGCAUUGUAUGAUAUGUGAAUUAUAUCCUAAUAAAGCCAUUAUUUAAAAAGCAGGGAGGGAAGGGUUACAUCUCCCCUGAACUCAGAGACUCCAAACAGCAGCUGGGCUUGCAAUUGCACUCCCUUCCUCCUGGAUCUUCCUUCCUGACUGCCUGCGCACAACAGGCUUUAGCCCGUUCCCAUAGGGUUCCAGCUUGCUUAUGAUCUUCCCUUGCUGACUGCGUGCUCUGUGGAUUUCAGGCUUGCUUAGCCAGCCCCACAAUUGUGUAAGCCAAUUCCUUGUAACAAACAAACUUGUUCUGCUUACUGGUUGAAACCUGUUAUGGAAACCAGUGUUCAAGAGUUUCUCUAAAUAUUUAUCUCAAGAACCUGGGGUAGGUAUCUGGUUGAGGAUUUAGGGGUCAUGGAUUCUGCCAAAUAUCAAAGCACCACUCACUUUUAGAAUGAUUGUUGACGAGGCUUUGGUCAGAGGGAAUAGCAGUAGUUGGGAUUGGAAGAGCAGCCUCUAGUGAAAUCAUAUUGAUUCUUCCUCCAAGGCGAAGAGCUCGCUCUCUUCUUGACCAUGAGCUUAAUUUUUAAGCUCAAUGGGUAAAGCGAAUAAAAAGCUGAGUAUUUUGGGGGGCCAGAGAACAUUUAUUGACUAACUUGAUGUUUCCCCUGCUGUGGAGAAUCAUGCAUUAUUUUAACACCCUUGGUUCUAUGCAUGCUCUCACUCCUCUCACACACCGUAAUUGAUUAAUGAGUUUGGAGAAGAUAGCGGGCAGGCAUAGCCUAGCCACAUCCUUUCUUUCUUUCUCUGGGAACUGAGCUUUCUGCAGGGAGCCCACACUUUCCUUUGUGCUUCCAUUCUAUAAAUUUUACUUAUACAGUAAGUCCUCCCAUAACAUUGUUGAUAAGUUCUUGGAAACUGACUUUAAGCAAAAUGAUACAUGAAACCAGUUUUACCAUGGGCUAAUAGAUAUAACAGGAGUUAAGUUUCUUGGCAUAUUUCUAUCACAAAACAUCACUAAACUUCUAAAUAAAGACCCAAAACACUUCUAACAUUAAACAUUAAAAUAAAUGUGAGGUUACCAUAUAUUAAAGAAAGAUUAAUAAAGACAAGCAAGGUAAUUAUUUACCCAAUUUUUGAUGAAUCAGUGAGUGAUGGCAGUCAUUGUGGUGGAGGUGAAAUCUAGGAAUAAAUGUUUACAAAGUGGAAAUUUUACGGAGCACCUACUACCGCCACAAAGUUCAAAAACAUUAGGCCAGGCACCGUGGCUCAUGACAGUAACCCCAGCACUUUGGGAGGCUGAGGCGGGUGGAUCGCCUGAGGCCAGGAGUUAGAGGCCAGCCUGGCUAACAUGGAGAAAUCUCGUCCUACUAAAAAUACAAAAAUUAGCCAGGUGUGGUGGCACGCACCUGUAAUCCCAGCUACUCGAGUGGCUGAGGCAUGAGAAUCGCCCGAACCCAGGAGGCAGAGGUUGCAGUGAGCUGAGAUCGCCCUACUGUACUCCAGCCUGCCUCAAAAUAAGUAAAUAAAUAACAGACAUGGUGGGCUUGCCAAGUGCUUUUAUAUGGCAUUAUUGUCAGGAAUUUGUAUGAUUGCAUGACAAUCAUACAAAUUUGCAGACUUUACAGAUUUUUACUUGACAAUGAUUUGUAUUAUUCAUUAAUUCCUUUUCCAACCGUCUUAUUCCAGUUCAGGGUAAUGAGUGGCUGGAACCUCUCCCGGUAGCUCAGGGCACCAGGCAGAAACCCACCCUGGCCAGGAUGCCAUCCAAUCGCAGGGCGCGCUUACACACACCCAAACUCACUGAGAUUGGGACCAUGUAGCACGCCAAUGAACUUUACACUCACAUCUUUGCGAUGCAGGAGAAAACCCAUGCAGGUGUGGGGAGAACAUACAAACUCCACACAGAGAGUGGCCCCACUAGGAAUUGAUUUUUUUUCAUAAUCAACUUUACAACAAAAUGAUAUUGAAUGAAAGGACAUUAUUCAAGGACCUGCUGUACUUGACUCCAUGGGAAGAGGGCUGGGUUAGGCCAGAAAUAUCUGAACCUACACAGGCAAGACAGUCUUGUAAGUGUGAAGUUGUUUUAAGAAGUCGAUCUGCCUACAGGUAAAUGUCAUAUUAUCUGUUCAAGUCUUUAUUAAUAAUAAAGAUGAUAUGUGGCCUCCAUUCAAUCCCUAAUGUCUUAGACUUUAUUUUUUUUGCAGGGGGUUGGGGGGAUGGCAGGACAGAGUCUUGCAGCUAGAGUGCGGUGGUGUGACCAUAGCUAACGGCAACCUCAAACUCCUGGGCUCAAGUGAUCCUCCUGCCUCAGCCUCCCAAGUAGCUGGGACUACAGGUGCACACCACCAUGCCUGGCUAAUUUUUAAAUUAGUAAAUUUUUGGUACUGACAGGGUCUCACUAGGUUUCCCAGGUUGGUCUUGAGCUCUUGGCCUCAAGCGAUCCUUCCACCUCAGCCUCCCAAAGUGUUGAGAUUAUAGGCAUGAAACACUGCAUCCAGGCUAUAUUUUAUCUCAUACUUUAUCGUUUGAUUCAGAAUUUGAAAGGCAUGGUAGUUAUUGGCCCCCUCAAAGACUUCAGCAUGGGACAGGAGAAGCAGCAAUUUACAAAAAAGUUUUGGACAUGUGCAAUAGUAAUGGCUAAAGUAAUAAUUACAUUCUUAGACUUUUUUAAGAGUCAGAAGGGAUCCUGGAGAUAAUCUAGCAGCUAGAUUCUAACUCAUAGAGGUUAAGUAAUGUGUCCAAAGCUACCCAGCCUUCUAGUGACAUAUCAGAACUACAAUCCAAAUUUUCUUUUGGCCCACUGCACUUUUCACCAUGCCCUGCUGCUUCCUUAAUAUGCUGAGAUGUUUAAAAUAUCACAUUCUGCUAUUUUGUUCUCAUUUUAUCUGUUUCCCUGAGUAUCAGACUUUUGUCAUUGUUAUAAACAAAGAAAUAAAUGCACUUCAGGUUAAAUAAGUUUCCCAUGGCAAUAGGACUUAUCAGAGGUAGCGCUGGAAGUGAAAUAUAGUACUCUAAUUUUAGUCCAAGGUUGUACUCAUGAGAUUUAUUUUUUCUGUCAAAAUGCCAAAUUGAAAUAAAUAGAAGAGUUGGGCACCAUGGAAGUAGAGUUGCUGUGGUGGAGGCUGUGGUUCAUAUAUUAAUUCAGCCAACGAUCUCUGGUUCCUUUUCUGCCAUGAAGUCACAGUAUGUUGUGGGAUUAAAAUUUCCUCCAAAAGAAUAGAAGGAAAUAAGUAGAAUGGGGUGUCACUGCCUAACUCCCAAAGCCUGUGAUCUUAAUUAACUCUGACGUUGACUGCCUUCUCAGAUCUGUAAGGUGCAAAGGUAAACUUUCAGACAGUACAAUAAAAGUUUAAGCGAAUUUCUAGAAGCAGUUAAUUUAUACAUUAUUCAUCAAAGUAAUAUUAAUUUAGCACUUGUAUAGUAUAGGUUUCUUUAAAUAACCGUCCCUGCAGUUUUAUUGCUGGAAAUGCAUUAAUGUGAAAGAUACACAUUAGGCUGCAAUUAGGACAGCAUGGAGAAUUACUUUACAGACUGGCAAUCUGUUAAUGAAGCCAUUACUCCGAGUUUCUACAAAACCUACAACUGAAUUUCAUUUGAUUUCUGACCAACGGUCUUUAAUCUUACCUGCUUUCCAUGUUGAGAAUUAAAUCAUUCAUUCAUUCACAAAAUAGCUUUUAAGCUGCUGUGAAUCUGGCACUGUUUUAGGCAUUGGGAAUAGGGUAAUAAGUAGAACAAAGUUUCUGACCUCAUUGAACAGAAUGUGUUACAAAAUAAUAAGCAUAAUAGAACCCUUUUUUUGCUGCUGUUAAAGAUAGGCAUACAUCCUGUUUAAUAAAGAUAUUACACUUGUGUCCUUAAAAAAGAAAAAACUAUGGUCAAAUAAAUUUGAGAAAUAAUGCAAUUAUAGUCCCUUUUUAAUGCUUCAAAAUACACACUAGCUUAUUAAAGACCUUAAGAUAUUACACAAUAAAGGAAUCUGUUUGACUUCUUUGACUACUUAAACUUAAUGUUUCUCUUUUGGAAUAGUUCUUCUUCUUCUUCUUCUUCUUCUUCUUCUUCUUCUUUCUUCUUCUUCUUCUGGAAUAGUGCUUCUUCUUCUUCUUCUUCCUCUUCUUCUUCUUCUUUUGGAAUAGUGCUUCUUCUUCCUCCUCUUCUUCUUCUUCCUCUUCUUCUUCUUGCUCUUCUUCUUCUUCUGGAAUAGUGCUUCUUCUUCCUCUUCUUCUUCUUCUUUUGGAAUAGUGCUUCUUCUUCCUCUUCUUCUUCUUCCUCUUCUUCUUUUGGAAUAGUUCUUCCUCUUCUUCUUCUUCUUCCUCUUCCUCUUCCUCUUCCUCUUCCUCUUCCUCUUCUUCUUCUUCUUCUUCUUCUUCUUCUUCUUCUUCUUCUUCUUUUCUCUUUUUUCGAGACAGAGUCUCGCUCUGUCACCCAGGCUGGAGUGCAGUGGUGCGAUCUCAGCCCACUGGAACUUCUGCCUCCCAGGUUCAAGCAAUUCUCUGCCACAGCCUUCCGAGUAGCUGGGACUACAGAUGCCCGCCACCACGCCCAGCUAGUUUUUGUAUGUUUAGUAGAGACAGGGUUUCACCGUGUUGGCCAGGCUGGUCUUGAACUCCUGACCUCGUGAUCCACCUGCCUCGGACUCCCAAAGUGCUGGGAUUAGAGGUGUGAGCUACUAUGCCUGGCCGGAAUAGUGCUUCUUAACCUCCUGUGAAUGAAUGUUUCAAGAAGUCAUUUUUAGAAAAUACUAAGCUGUAAGAACUCAUUAUUAUACACGAGAUAAGGAGCUAAUAUCCAAAAUAUACACAGACCCCAGACUAUUCGAUAACAAGAAAUCAAGUAACCCUAUUAAAAAUGGGCAAAGGACUUGAAUAGUUACUUCUCAAAAGAAGACAUACAAAUGGCCAAUAGAUAUAUGAGAAGAUGUUUAACAUCUCUAAUUAUCAGAGCAAUGCAAAUGAAAACUACAAUGAGAUGUCACCUCACACCUGUUAGACUGUAUAUUAUCGAAAAGAUGAAAGAUAGCAAGUGUUGGUGAGGAUGCGCAGUAAAAGGAAACUUGUACACUGUCGGUAGGAAUGUAAAUUACUACAGCCAUUUUGGAAAACAGUAUAGAGGUUCCUCAAAAAACUAAAAAUAUAAUUACCACAAAAUCCAGCAAUCCCACUAUGGGGUGUGUGCACAAAAGGAAUGAAAUCAGUAUGCUGAAAGAAUAUCUAUACUCCCACGUCCAUUGCAGCAGUAUGCAUGUUAGCCAAGGUAUAGAAACAAUCUAAAUGUUCAUCAACAGAUGAAUGGGUUUUUAAAAUUUGAUGUAUAUACACAAUGGAGUACUAUUCAGCCUUUAAAAAAAUAGGGAAUUCUAUCAUUUGUGACAAGGAUGAACCUAGCAGAUAUUAUGUUAAGUGAAAUAAGCCAGGCACAGAGAGACAAAUACAGUAUGAUCCACUUAUAUGUGGAAUCUAAAAAAGUUGAACUUCUAGAAGUAGAGGGUAAAAUCGUGGUUACCACAGUCUUGGGGAAGGGGCGGGGGGUGAACCAGAAAGGAGGGAUAAUUUAUCAAUGGGUACGAAGUUACAGCUAGAUAGGAGGAGUAAGUCCUGGUGUUCUACUGCACGGCAAGGUGACUAUAGCUAAUAAUAAUGUGUUGUAUACUUCAAAAGAGCUAAAAGAGAGGGUUUUUAAUGUUCUCACCACAGAGAAACAAUAAAUAUUUGAGAUGGUGGAUAUGCUAAUUACUCUGAUGUGAUCAUCCCACAAUUUUUACAUGUAUUGAAAUAUCACUUUGGGGCCAGGCAUGGUGGGACAACUUGAGGCAAAAGCAGGACAACUCUAAGCAGGGAGGCGGCUUCCAGGUCACAGGUAGAUAAGAUUCAAAUGGUUGCAUUCUUUUGAACUUCUGAUUAGCUUCUCCAAAUGAGGCAAUCAGAUAUGUAUAUAUUUAUCACAGGGAGCAGAGGGGGGUGACUUUGAAUAGAAGGGGAGGCAGAUUUGCCCUAAGCAGUUCCCAGCUUGAGUGAUUUUGGGGCCCAGAGAUUUAUUUUCCUUUCCAGAGUUUAUACUAACAUUUGCAUUUUAAAUUAUAACUACAAGGUUUUUAGUUAACUUCUAUAUUAAAUCUAUAUCUCCUUUCCUCCAUGCCAAGAACCCUAGUUCUCAAGGUAACAGGGGAUGAUAGAAUUUGAAAAUUUCAUGACUUUCAUUUACUUUUUCCCACAUAAAACCAGCAAUCUCAGAAUAAUAAUAGUAGUUAUUUUAGAAUAACAACUUUACUACUGGCAAUUAAUAUUCAUAAUACAAUCACCACCAACUACUGAAAAUGGUAAAUAAUUUUUUAUAUGUUAUCCCCAUUCUUACCCCAGUUUUAAAUUGUUGUAUCAUAGCUACCCUGUCAGAGCAUAUAACCUUUAUAUUCUAUCAUCUGCCUCCCUUUUAAAUUUUAUUUUGUCUUAGUUCUACAGGCAACUUCCUCCUUUCAUCUACUACUUCUCUUAAAGCAUUUUGUGUGUGUGUGUGUGAGUGUGUUUCCCUUUUUUCUUCUAGUUUAGUGUUAAUCGUUACUAUAAUUUUUUUUUCUUUUUUCCUCUUUUUUAGAGAUGGGGUUUCCCUAUGUUGCCCAGGUUGCUCUCGAACUGCUGGGCUCAAGCGAUCCUCCUGGCUCAGCCCCGCGAGUAGCUGGAACCACAGACGUGCACCACCACACCCAACUAAUUUUUUGUAGAGACGGGGUUUCGCCAUGUUGCCCAGGCUGUUCUGGAAUUCCUGGGCUCAAAUGAUCCACCCACUUUGGCCUCCCAAAGUGCUGGGAUUAUAGGCAUGAGCCAUAUGAGUCAUUGCGUCUGGCCACAUUAUAGUUUUUAGUCUUUUUUUUCGCAUUAUCGUUUUGAUCUGCUUCUUGAAUAUGUCUUUAUGGUGUACUUUCAUUUUUUGCAGGAAUGUUAUUCUGCUCCGUAUUCUCUUUUUUUCUUUUAGUAAAUUUGGAAUUUGACCUUAGUAUUUUUCUAUUGUUCGUUCUUAAGUAAAAUUAGUUUUUCUGAACUUCUAAUGGUGGCUAGGUUCAGAUAGAUUUUGCUAACAUCACUGAGGUACUUCUUCGCUUUUGUGUAAAGUUUUAAAUAUAUAACUGUCUGCAGUUUUGAGAUUUCCUGGCUCUGCUCUCCUUAUUUACUUUUUAUCUGGAUCUCCUUUUUUUUUUGAGAUGGAGUCUCACUCUUGUUGCCCAGGCUGGAGUGCACUGGCGCGAUCUCGGCUCACUGCAACCUCCGGGCCUCCUGGGUUCAAGUGAUUCUUCUGCCUCAGCCUCCCGAGUAGCUGGGAUUACAGGCAUGCGCCACCAUGCCUGGCUAAUUUUGUAUUUUUAGUAGAGACGGGGUUUCUCCAUGUUUAUCAGGCUGGUCUCGAACUCCCCACCUCAGGUGAUCCACCCGCCUCGGCCUCCCAAAAUCCUGGGAUUACAGGUGUGAGCCACCAUGCCCGGCCUGGAUCUCCUUUUUAUGUGUUGUCCCUAUCUUGAUCAAUUUUGAUCCCACACCCAGCAGUUUCUCUCAGAGCUGUGUCCUGGAAGUGAGAUUUGGACAUUCAGUAUUGUAAAUUCAGAGGGGUUAGAAUGUCCCCACCCCUUUAGGUCUUACUGAGUUUCCUUGUGCUCUUCUGCAAUUAAAAUGGGCAAAACCCCUACCAGUUUCAGUUGCCACUCAUGGAUUGACCCAUUGUGCUUUCCAGUGAAUGCUGUUGCUCUUUGGAUUCUCCUGUUCUCACUCUAUCAAAUGUCUCAUGGGCUCCCUUUCCUGUCUCUUACACACACUCCAACAUCAUGCAGGUCUUGUGGUUGACGAUGGUGUGUCCCCAUAUGCUUCUAUUCUGUGGUUUGUGGGGAUGCCUUGCCAUCUUCUUUAGCUGUAAAUGUUAUCCUUGAGUUUUAAUUUUGUUGUCUAGUUUCUCUGUUCAUAUGCAGGGGGUUUGAGAAGAUCCAAAACCAUGCUCUCACUGUCAUGUUUCUAGAAGCCCUAUAACUUUCAGGGAACUGAAAUUUAAUAUAUUUUAUAUGAUACAUUAUGCUUUUAAAAAAUAAUUCUAAAAUAAUUUCAAUCUUACAGCAAAUUGCAGGAAUAAUUCAGAGACUUCUCUUUAUCCUUUACUUAGAUUCCCUAAUCAAUUAAUAUUUUACCAUAUUAUCUUUUUCUCUCUCAUUUUGUAUAUAAAACAUAUAAAAGUCCAGUAAAAUCAUUAUAAUCAAUAAAUUAAAAUUAAUACAAUACUAACAUCCAAUCUGCAGACUAGAUUCAAAUUUCACUGAUUGUCUCCAUAAUGUGCUUUAUAAUCACCCUUUCCUUUCUGACCCAGGAACCAAUAGAAGAUCAUGUGUUGAAUUUAAUUGUUAUGUCUUCUUAACCUCCUUCAACUUGGAGAUUCCUCAGUUUUUCCAUGUCUUUCAUGUUGACCGUUUAAAAGAGAACAGGCAAUUAAUUUGUAGACUGUCCCUACGCUUGAGUUUGCCUUAAGUUUCUCAUGGUUAGAUUCAGGUUAUUUGUUGGUAGUGGGUUUUUAUGGAGGCGUACCACAGAAGUGAUGCUAUGUUCUUCUCAGUGCAGCAUCAGAAGGCAACAACGUAAUUUGUUCUAUUUCUAUCAGGGUUGACUUUUAUCACUUGGUUAAGAUGGUGUCUGCUGAAUUUCUUCACUGUAAAAUUAAUUAAUAAGUAUUUUGUACUUACUAGGUUAAAAGUUAUUAAUAGGUAUUUUGUGGAGAGCUACUUUUUUUUUUUCAGUUCAAACUCAUUUCCCUUUUAUUAAAGUCCAGGUUACCAUUACAUGGGUUGGUACUCAAUAAAGGAAAACUUGUUCAAAUAAGGUAUAUAUUAUCAUCAGUAUUUCCAGGUAACUGUUUACACACAAGUAGCAAUAUCAAUAAAUCCUUGCAAAGCCCAUCCAUGGGGUUUACACCUUGUCAAGGCCCAGAUCCUCCGGAGUGGAGAUUCCCAGUUCAUUUAAAGUUGGUCUGAGUUCCUGUAUGACAUAGGGGUAGAUUUCCUUAUGAGGUCCUGCUUUGUCCUUAACAGCCUCUAGGAUGCCAACUGCACUAGCAAAAUCGUUUAACCGUCUGCAUGCCCGCAAAGCAGCAUCAACAAUUUUGGGCUCUGGAACCGGAUCAUAGCUAACAAGUGUGUUCAUCCCUUUACGCAAUUGCCAGGCAUCUAUAUCUGGCUUGUUGAAGUAUGUUACUCAGAGAGCAUCAAACUCCUCAUCUGUCUCGUGACCCAUGGGAAUAGCAGUGAACUGACUGGAUAGCCGCGGCGGGGCCGGGGGUUGGGGCGGAAUGCAGGAGGCCUCGAGGGCCGGCCCGGGCGGUUGCAGUCACCGCGCAGCGGUGGAGAGCGGCCCCAGCACGACGGCGAUGGUGGCGCGCAAGCUGAGGAUGGAGAGAAACCGGUGUGAGCUCGCUCGCGGGUUGCUCCGCAGCUGGCGGGGGCCGGCGAGAGCUACUUUUAUGUUAUAUGAAUAUCGUGUUCUUCAUCACAUUCCCCAGCACCCCCGCCACUGGCUUUAGCAUCCAUUAUUGGUUCUUACCUAAAUCAAUUAUUACUAUAAUGGUUGACAAACGAUGCUAUUCUAAUUACAUUAUUAUUUCUACAUUUAUUAGUUGGCAUUCUAUUAUAAGGUAAAGUUUUCCUUGGCCUGCCUCAGUGGCUUAUGCCCGUAAUUCCAGCACUUUGGGAGGCAAAGGCAGGUGCGCUUGAGGCCAGGAGUUCAAAACUAGCCUGGUCAACAUAGUGAGACCUCAUCUCUACAAAAGAAAACAAAUCAAAAGAUUAACUGGGAAUGGUGGUGCAUACCCGUAGUCUUACCUACAGGGGAGGGUGAGGCAGGAGAAUCACUUGAGCCCAGGAGUUCGAGGCUGCAGUGAGCCAUACUUGUGCCACUGCACUCCAGCCUGGGUGACAGAGUGAGACUGUCUCUUAAAGAAAAAAAAAAACAAAACAAAACCUUUCCCUUCUCCCUUAUCUGUUUUAUUCAAUGGACGAUAAUCUGUUGCUAUCAUUUAUUUUGAUAUUCAAAUUUUUCCAGAUUUAGCUAAUGAGAGCCCUUCAAACUAGGACUUCUCCUUCUAACAUGUCCUCAUCAUUCUUUCAUUGCUUUCCUACUUUCGUGACAAACAAGAUGUUCCAGGAACAUUUUGUACUGUCCUUGUUCCAGUCCUAAAAUCAACCAUUUCUUCGAGGACUUCUGGAUUCUGUUAGUGGAGAAUGGUAUUCAGAAGCCUCCAUCUGGGUGCUGGGUGUGAUCAUUGCUACUAGGAGAUCACUGCUUCCAGGUUUAGUUUUCACCCUUUCCGAACUGUUAAUUCCCUUCUGUGACAGAGAAAAACCUGGCUCUGGCUCUCAUCUCAAUACACUCACUUAAUUAAUCUCCCUGUAUGUAACCAAUCUCCUGACCUUAUGGCUGCCUUGCAGACCAAGACAUCACCUUACAUGGAGGCCAUUGUGUAGUAGAAAUGAGACUAGCCCCUUUGCUUUUCCCACUAUAACUUGUAAAUGCACUACACAAAGCCAAUGAGACCCUUUUCUAAACUAAUUCCUAUUCUUUAUGCAAAAGAGAUUAUGUAUGAAAUUUGGGACUCCAUUGAUUUAAUUUAUCAUAAUUUUGUGAAAUUUAUUUUGCUAUAGAAUGAAUGUAUAUUAUAAUAUUGGAAUUAAAAUUUCUUUUUAAUCUGAAGUUUCUGGCUUUGUGUUUCAUGAGUUUGUUAUGAUACAGUGAGAAUAUUUGCUCAACUGCUUUUUGGAUAUACAAUUUAACAAAUGAGGCCUGACCAGCAGGAAAAAAAUUAGUGAGAAUUUAAAAAAAUUAACUACAAGUUCAGUUAUGUUUUUAAAAAGUGAUUUUAAAAGAUAACAAAAGUCUCAUAUCACUUUUAACUCAAUCAGUGUUUUCUAAAAUAUUUACUACAUCAUUGUAAGCUUUGUUAUUACUAAUAAUAACUUUGAUCUGUAUGAGCAUUAUUGUUUACAAAGAACCUAAUAUUAUCUCAAUCUUUUCCCAGCUUUGUGGAGUAGAUGAUGUUAUCUCCAUUUUACACACAGAUCGUAGGCUUAUUGAAGCUAUGCAACUUGUUAAAGAUUGCCCAACUGUUAGGUGGCAGAAACGGUAUAUAAACAGAGUUAUUUUAACUUACCAUUUAUUCUUCCCUUUUCAUUGUUUCAUUCCUCUGAAUUGGGAUUUUUUCUCAUCUCGCCUGUCCUGUUUGACAGAUUAUAAAUGAAUAACUACUCUCCUAUGUAAUUUACUAAUUUUGUCACCUAGGUUUAGAUCAAUCAAUUCUAAUAGGUUCAUUUAUUCAAGUUGCUGAAAGUGCCUAUUGUCCCCCAGUAUUUAUAUCCCCUGCAUUGCACAGUAAUAGAAUGUUUAGCCAGACAAAUGGCCACCUCAGAAAAAAGUUCAUUUCCGGCCGAGAGCAGUGGCUCACACCUGUAAUCCCAGCACUUUGGGAGGCUGAGGCAGGUGAAUCACUUGAGGCCAGGAGUUCAAGAAAAGCCUGGCCAACAUGGUGAAACCCUGUCUCUACUAAAAAUACA
rnacentral:lncRNA from 10 species